UUAGGAUCAACAGAGAAUAUGAAUUCCAUUUCACCGGAAACUGCAGGUUCGAUUGCUCGUUGCUUUUACUACGGAUCCGGUGAACUUUCCGUGCGAGAAGCGAGUUGAUAUCGAUUUGGUUUGAGUGGGUGUUCUGCCCAAGAUGUCUUUCCCUCCUCAUCUCAACCGGCCACAAAUAGGCAUCCCAACGUUGCCGCCAGGAAUCCCUCCACCACAGUUUGCUGGGUUUCCACCGUCAAUGCCUCCUGGAACCCCAAUGAUUCCUGUCCACAUGGGCAUUAUGGCCCCAGCCCCUGCGGUAAUGUUAUUUAAUUAUAGAA